GGAGAGAUGGCUCAGCGGUUAAGAGCACUGGCUGUUCUUCCAGAGGACCUGGGAUCAAUUCCCAGCACCCUCA
rnacentral:tRNA from 1 species